GAUGAACGCUGGCGGCGUGCCUAAUACAUGCAAGUCGAGCGAACAGACGAGGAGCUUGCUCCUCUGACGUUAGCGGCGGACGGGUGAGUAACACGUGGAUAACCUACCUAUAAGACUGGGAUAACUUCGGGAAACCGGAGCUAAUACCGGAUAAUAUAUUGAACCGCAUGGUUCAAUAGUGAAAGACGGUUUUGCUGUCACUUAUAGAUGGAUCCGCGCCGCAUUAGCUAGUUGGUAAGGUAACGGCUUACCAAGGCAACGAUGCGUAGCCGACCUGAGAGGGGGAUCGGCCACACGGGAACUGAGACACGGUCCAGACUCCUACGGUAGGCAGCAGUAGGGAAUCUUCCGCAAUGGGCGAAAGCUUGACGGAGCAACGCCGCGUGAGUGAUGAAGGUCUUCGGAUCGUAAAACUCUGUUAUUAGGGAAGAACAAAUGUGUAAGUAACUAUGCACGUCUUGACGGUACCUAAUCAGAAAGCCACGGCUAACUACGUG
rnacentral:rRNA from 1 species